rnacentral:lncRNA from 1 species
GUUUCGUCUCAUGCCUUGAAUGAGUCUUGGCAUUAAAAUGGCGUCUGAUUAUCGACUUUCAAGAGUUUCAAGAUUUGGUGAACCUCUAAAAAUCCAACACAAAAUGCAAAUUUUAUUAUAACACACACAUAAAGUACACAAUGUUAGCUAAUAUGAUGUAAUUUACACAAUAUUAGCAAACAUGGUGAUUUAUAUGACAUUAACUAAUAACG